rnacentral:rRNA from 1 species
UACGAAGGGGGCUAGCGUUGCUCGGAAUCACUGGGCGUAAAGGGUCCGUAGGCGGGCCUGUAAGUCAGUGGUGAAAUCUCCCCGCUCAACGGGGAAACUGCCAUUGAUACUGCAGGUCUUGAAUUAUUGUGAAGUGACUAGAAUAUGUAGUGUAGCGGUGAAAUGCUUAGAGAUUACAUGGAAUACCGAUUGCGAAGGCAGGUCACUAACAAUGGAUUGACGCUGAUGGACGAAAGCGUGGGGAGCGAACAGG